rnacentral:rRNA from 1 species
ACGCUGGCGGCGUGCCUAAUACAUGCAAGUAGAACGCUGAAGGAAGGAGCUUGCUCUUUCCGGAUGAGUUGCGAACGGGUGAGUAACGCGUAGGUAACCUGCCUGGUAGCGGGGGAUAACUAUUGGAAACGAUAGCUAAUACCGCAUAACAGUAGAUAUCGCAUGAUAGCUGCUUGAAAGGUGCAAUUGCACCACUACCAGAUGGACCUGCGUUGUAUUAGCUAGUUGGUGAGGUAACGGCUCACCAAGGCAACGAUACAUAGCCGACCUGAGAGGGUGAUCGGCCACACUGGGACUGGGACACGGCCCAGACUCCUACGGGAGGCAGCAGUAGGGAAUCUUCGGCAAUGGACGGAAGUCUGACCGAGCAACGCCGCGUGAGUGAAGAAGGUUUUCGGAUCGUAAAGCUCUGUUGUAAGAGAAGAACGAGUGUGAGAGUGGAAAGUUCACACUGUGACGGUAUCUUACCAGAAAGGGACGGCUAACUACGUGCCAGCAGCCGCGGUAAUACGUAGGUCCCGAGCGUUGUCCGGAUUUAUUGGGCGUAAAGCGAGCGCAGGCGGUUAGAUAAGUCUGAAGUUAAAGGCUGUGGCUUAACCAUAGUACGCUUUGGAAACUGUUUAACUUGAGUGCAAGAGGGGAGAGUGGAAUUCCAUGUGUAGCGGUGAAAUGCGUAGAUAUAUGGAGGAACACCGGUGGCGAAAGCGGCUCUCUGGCUUGUAACUGACGCUGAGGCUCGAAAGCGUGGGGAGCAAACAGGAUUAGAUACCCUGGUAGUCCACGCCGUAAACGAUGAGUGCUAGGUGUUAGACCCUUUCCGGGGUUUAGUGCCGCAGCUAACGCAUUAAGCACUCCGCCUGGGGAGUACGACCGCAAGGUUGAAACUCAAAGGAAUUGACGGGGGCCCGCA